rnacentral:rRNA from 1 species
UACGGAGGGUGCGCGCGUUGUCCGGAAUCACUGGGCGUAAAGGGCGCGUAGGCGGCGCGACAAGUCAAUGGUGAAAGCCCGAGGCUCAACUUCGGGUCGGCCACUGAUACUGUUGGGCUUGAGCACUGUAGAGGCAGGUGGAAUUCCGGGUGUAGCGGUGGAAUGCGUAGAGAUCCGGAAGAACACCGGUUGCGAAGGCGGCCUGCUGGGCAGUAGCUGACGCUGAGGCGCGACAGCGUGGGGAGCAAACAGG